CUUCUCCCCAGCCUUAGACUUAUAUUUAGCCUUAUACUUAUUUGCUGUGUGCCAGCAAAUUGUUCCUUAGUUUGCUUACCAGUUUAUUCUUGUGAGGGUAAUUAAAAAGUUUCAGUUACUUCCAGAUAAUGCCAAGGGAACAUUUUCCAGGAGAAUAAACAGCUGCCCAGAUGAGGAGUCCUCUUUGAAUUGAAGACUAAAUUGUGCAUAUUGGUCUCUCUGCUGGGUCAAAAGCUUUAUGGUGACUAUCAGCAUUCAACUAGUUUCUGCAAGAAGCACUAAUGGAAGCAAAAAGCACUUUAAACCAUGCACAGCUGCAUGUAUUAGACUGUCUGAAGAUCUUUGGCACUAAUUCAGGAGUCUCAGCCCUCAUGUGGAGACCUAAACCAUGUGAAGGCCUGAGUCUACCAGCACAAGUCUGCAAAAAUACACUAAGUAUCCCCCCCCCCCCUUCUGCAGAGGACACAGUGACACAUCCACUCUCCCUUCUUCCAGACCCCACACCAAAAACUGUGAAGGAAGGGCAAACUUGUUUGCUUAUCCCUUAUGCCUGGAGAUAUAAUUUAUCCUCUAUGCAACUACCUGAUUUUCGUGCAACUAAGGUCAACCUUAACUUUACAUGUACUAUAUUGUUCUCUGGUCAGCUGGGUUUCUUGGAGCAGCUGGAUGUGCUGUUUUGUCUCUAGUCAGUUUGUAGUUAACUUCAGGAUGAGGCUUAGUCAGAUGAAUGCUGAAAGACUCCAAGCUCUUUUUGUUUAGUCACCUGUAUGUAAGG